GUCUACGGCCAUACUAUCCUGAACAUGCCCGCUCUUGUCUGAACUCAGAAGCUAAGCAGGGUCAGGUUAGUACUUGGAUGGGAGAAAAUUGUUGUUUUCA
rfam:Papio anubis isolate 1X1155 chromosome 9, whole genome shotgun sequence.